rnacentral:rRNA from 8 species
CGGAGGCCAUUGCUAUUGGGAUCCGAUUUAGCCAUGCUAGUCGCACGAGUUCAGACUCGUGGCGAAUAGCUCAGUAACACGUGGCCAAACUACCCUUCGGAACACAAUACCCUCGGGAAACUGAGGCUAAUAGUGUAUACCACAUCACCACUGGAAUGAGUGAUGUGCCAAACGCUCCGGCGCCGAAGGAUGUGGCUGCGGCCGAUUAGGUAGACGGUGGGGUAACGGCCCACCGUGCCAAUAAUCGGUACGGGUCAUGAGAGUGAGAACCCGGAGACGGAAUCUGAGACAAGAUUCCGGGCCCU